rnacentral:rRNA from 1 species
CAGCAGCCGCGGGAAUACGGAGGGGGCUAGCGUUGUUCGGAAUUACUGGGCGUAAAGCGUGCGCAGGCGGCUGUGUAAGACAGGUGUGAAACCCCCGGGCUUAACCUGGGAACUGCGCUUGUGACUGCACAGCUAGAGUAUGGCAGAGGGGGGUGGAAUUCCACGUGUAGCAGUGAAAUGCGUAGAGAUGUGGAGGAACACCGAUGGCGAAGGCAGCCCCCUGGGCCAAUACUGACGCUCAUGCACGAAAGCGUGGGGAGCAAACAGGAUUAGAUACCCGCGUAGUCCCUGUCUCUUAUAU